rnacentral:misc_RNA from 1 species
GAUGAAGAACGCAGCGAAAUGCGAUAAGUAAUGUGAAUUGCAGAAUUCAGUGAAUCAUCGAAUCUUUGAACGCACCUUGCGCCUUUUGGUAUUCCGAAAGGCAUGCCUGUUUGAGUGUCAUGAAAUCUCAAUCCCCCCGGGUUUAUGAUCUGGGUUGGGACUUGGACUUGGGUGCUGCCGGUUACAUGGCUCGCCUCAAAUGACUUAGUGGAUCUCUCUGCAUCCGUGACAGACGUAAUAAGUUUCGUCUUGUCCCUUGCUGUCUGAGUCUGCUCCUAACCUGCCAUUGUGCACUUUUAGACUCUGACCUCAAAUCAGGUAGGACUACCCGCUGAACUUAAGCAUAUCAAUAAGCGGAGGA